rnacentral:rRNA from 1 species
AUUGAACGCUGGCGGCAUGCCUUACACAUGCAAGUCGAACGGUAACGGGCCUUCGGGUGCCGACGAGUGGCGAACGGGUGAGUAAUGCAUCGGAACGUACCUUUCAGUGGGGGAUAACGUAGCGAAAGUUACGCUAAUACCGCAUAUUCUGUGAGCAGGAAAGCAGGGGAUCGCAAGACCUUGCGUUCUGGGAGCGGCCGAUGUCGGAUUAGCUAGUUGGUGGGGUAAAAGCCUACCAAGGCGACGAUCCGUAGCGGGUCUGAGAGGAUGAUCCGCCACACUGGGACUGAGACACGGCCCAGACUCCUACGGGAGGCAGCAGUGGGGAAUUUUGGACAAUGGGCGGAAGCCUGAUCCAGCCAUGCCGCGUGAGUGAAGAAGGCC